rnacentral:rRNA from 1 species
AUUGAACGCUGGCGGCAGGCUUAACACAUGCAAGUCGAACGAGUGGCGGACGGGUGAGUAAUGCUUGGGAAUCUAGCUGAUGGAGGGGGACAACUACGGGGCACUGUAGCCAAUACCGCCUACCAUAGGCUGAGCCCAAGUGGGAUUAGGUAGUUGGUGAGGUAAAGGCUAACCAAGCCGACGAUCUCUAGCUGGUCUGAGAGGAUGACCAGCCACACUGGGACUGAGACACGGCCCAGACUCCUACGGGAGGCAGCAGUGGGGAAUAUUGCACAAUGGGGGAAACCUGACGCAGCCAUGCCGCGUGAGUGAAGAAGGCCUUCGGGUUGUAAAGUUCUUUCAGUAGGGAGGCGUUACCUACAGAAGAAGCACCGGCUAACUCCGUGCCAGCAGCCGCGGUAAUUC